rnacentral:rRNA from 1 species
GUGCCAGCAGCCGCGGUAAUACGGAGGGUGCGAGCGUUAAUCGGAAUGACUGGGCGUAAAGGGCAUGUAGGCGGAUAAUUAAGUUAGGUGUGAAAGCCCUGGGCUCAACCUAGGAAUUGCAUUUAAAACUGGUUAUCUGGAGUAUUGUAGAGGAAGGUAGAAUUCCACGUGUAGCGGUGAAAUGCGUAGAGAUGUGGAGGAAUACCGGUGGCGAAGGCAGCCUCCUGGGAUAACACUGACGUUCAUGCUCGAAAGCGUGGGUAGCAAACAGGAUUAGAUACCCUGGUAGUCCACGCUGUAAACGAUGUCGAUUUGGAGUUUGUUGCCUAGAGUGAUGGGCUCCGAAGCUAACGCGAUAAAUCGACCGCCUGGGGAGUACGGCCGCAAGGUUAAAACUCAAAUGAAUUGACGGGGGCCCGCACAAGCGGUGGAGCAUGUGGUUUAA